CCCUUAGAUGUUCUGGGCCGCACGCGCGCUACACUGAUGCAUGCAACGAGUUCUAUCCUUGGCCGGAAGGCCUGGGUAAUCUGUGAACGUGCAUCGUGAUAGGGAUAGAUUAUUGCAAUUAUUAAUCUUGAACGAGGAAUUCCUAGUAAACGCAAGUCACCAGCUUGCAUUGAUUACGUCCCUGCCCUUUGUACACACCGCCCGUCGCACCUACCGAUCGAAGGUAAUGAUGAGCCCUCAGGAUUGUGGCCUCGUCGCGUCAGCGUCUUGGCUGCGAGAAUCUGUGCAAAUCCCUACCUUUAGAGGAAGGUGAAGUCGUAACA
rnacentral:rRNA from 1 species